AAAGUUAUGCCUGCUCUUCUACCUGCUCCUCGUCUCGUUUUUAGAAGUAUAAUAAAACCGACCGGGUUAUAAUAUAGUAAUAGCAAAAAAAAAAAAAUACUAAUAAAAAUACACAAACUCGAAUGAUGGAAUUAUUACGUACACUGAAAUAAUUAUUAUAUACUCUCCGGUACGUUAAAAUAAUAAUACCUACACAAUAUAGUGUAGUAUACUCAUCCAGUGGAGAGUCUGAGGAGAUCGAUA